GAGAGGCACAAAACAGUCGCUACUCUCAAGGACCUCAUAGUCUAAUGAGGAAGACAACAUGAGAGGACCAUGAACACCCAAGUUCCUAUGUGGGUGCUCAGAUGGUAAGGUGGAGUACAGCCAGCCUUUCCUUACCCAUCACUGGAAGUCUUGGACCUCUAUGAUGUCACCUGGGAGCAUUGCAGAGAACCUUAAGCCAGCUCUCCUGAAAUGCCAGGAAGAAAUGUCUUAAAGAAUUUGAGAGCAGAUUUAUGGAACCGAGACAUUCUGACUUUCCUGCUUAAGGGGAGGCACAUUAAUCCAAGACGACAGAUAAGACACGAAGUUGGAUCACACCUUAGGGGUGGGAGCUGUUCAUAUCAUCUCCUCAUGUGGCGCCCACAGAAGGGAGUGAGCCCUUCCCAAUCUAGCAGCAUGUAAUUUUUGAGUGCCGACCAUAUGCAGUGUGGCAUCUAUGUUGCAAAGAGCAUGAGAAUUGGUGUCCAAAGAACUGGAUUCAAGUCUACUUCUCUCAUUUGCUAACCAUGUGACCUUGGGCAAGACAUAUAGAUUUUCCAAACCUUAGUUUUCUUCUCUGUAAAAUGGGAGUAACAAUUCUUGCAUGAUCACAUUUGUGAGUAGGAGUGCGCUGGAGCCAGCUUGAGAUGGGAGGCUGUAAAAUUUUCACUGUGAGCAUUUACACCUUGGAAAUCAGCAAACCCUAUAAAUCAGGGCUUCAUUGUUUUGU